GACGAACGCUGGCGGCGUGCUUAACACAUGCAAGUCGAACGGACAGGCCCUGCUUUUGUGGGGUGCUCGAGUGGCGAACGGGUGAGUAACACGUGAGUAACCUGCCCUUGACUUUGGGAUAACUUCAGGAAACUGGGGCUAAUACCGGAUAGGAGCUCCUGCUGCAUGGUGGGGGUUGGAAAGUUUCGGCGGUUGGGGAUGGACUCGCGGCUUAUCAGCUUGUUGGUGGGGUUGUGGCUUACCAAGGGUUUGACGGGUAGCCGGCCUGAGCAGCUGACCGGCCACAUUGGGACUGAGAUACGGCCCAGACUCCUACGGGAGGCAGCAGUGGGAAAUAUUGCACAAUGGGCGGAAGCCUGAUGCAGCAACGCCGCGUGCGGGAUAACGGCCUUCGGGUUGUAAACCGCUUUCGCCUGUGACGAAGCGUGAGUGACGGUAAUGAGUAAAGAAGCACCGGCUAACUACGUG
rnacentral:rRNA from 1 species